UUUUGGUCUAAGUUGUAGCAUGAGGAUGGAUGAUCAAAAUAUUUACACGAGUUCAGGCAACGGAGGUAUUAGCAAGCCAAUAAAGUUGAUAAUUUCCUUUAGUUUGUUGGGGUUUGUAGCUCUGCUAUCUUUAAGUGUCUACUGCUUUUGCCACAGGAAAAGAGUCAGAAAAGGUAAUUUGCUGCAAUAACACUUGCUUGGUUUUUGA
rnacentral:sRNA from 1 species